GCCAGCAAUUUUCCUGCCAUCGAGCCCCCACACCGAGUCCAACGGUCGCAGACAAUCUUGUACACGUGUGACCCAUGGAGCGUAAAAAAGUAACAGUAGACUAGGAAGUGCGGUUGAGAACAAACAAGGAGCGGCAUUCA
ensembl:ncRNA F46G11.7 ncRNA